CACCACUAACAACAACAACGACGUUUUUCAGAUUUAUCGUGUGUGAAUCAGAAUGAAGACAGCUGCGGUACUCUUCGCUGCCUCUCUGCUCCUAACUGCAACCUACCUAGCAGAAACAGCGAGACAGCUUGGGUAUCAUGAAUGUCACCGUGGUGCCGUCUAUUCGUACUGUGCCUCACCAUGUCCACGCGUAUGUGGUCAACCGCCAGUGACCAACUGCAGUCGUCGUUGCAUUGAAGGAUGCACCUGCGAACAAGGCCUCAUUCUGGACCCUCUCGGUCGCCGAUGCAUUCACGAAGGCACCUGCGACCGCCUCGUCAACCGCAAUACGACGCGAGCGACACCGGUGUCAAAUGUUGGCGAAAGUUAGACGCUCUUGUGUUGCUUAUGUAGUGUACCUCAAUCACCUAAACGACAACAUUUCCGCAAUAAAAUUAUACAUGCUCUUA